GACGAGCUGAGACCAUGUUCUAUAGCGCGCUCUAGGAUAUAGAUUCAGUGGCGUAUUCCCUGUCAACCACUCUCUCUAUAAUCUGCUUCUCCUAGCAUCUCCCAGUUCUCUUUUUCGUUCUUUCUACUGUUUGUGCUUUGCGAGGUCGUUGGUUGAGUGAAAAGAUCUAGAGAGAAUGCAGCCAACCCAAAUGCUGAGGUAUGCUGUUAGAUUCUCCUACACUCAGGGUGCUAUGAGUGGAAGCAGGUCAGGAUCGGAUAAACUUGUGUACCCAUUUGCAGUGAUUCUUGCUGGAUUGGGCAUCUCAUUAUCCACAUUCAGCGUUAAACAACUGCUAUCGGGCGGCCACAAGAGAACAUUCUAACAUACUUAUCUUCACCAUCUAACAUGAAAACGGUACAUCCAUUCAGCCGUAUGAAGAUGCUACAAAUCUAGGAGACUGACGAAAUGGAUUGAACCAGGAAACGCAACAUCUAAAUGUCCAUUUUCCACAAUAAUCUAGUUUGACUUUAUUUACUUGAGAAUUUCUCAAGAUCUCAAAUUCCAACCAACCUUUUAAUUAAAAUCCAUAAGAACGUAUCAGCCAUCAAUUUUUAGGGAUCAUGAUCUUCAUUGAAGGUUAAUGCUUCACGUUAUCCACUGUAUAGCAACCAUUUCCAUAUCUGCAUAAUUUGUGAAUGUAUCCCAAUCAUGUUUUAACGUAUACCGAUAAUAUUAAGCAUCCCCAAUUUUUAAUAUUUUGGUUAGAUCACUUUUAAAUGAGAUUUGUAGGCUAUUGGAAGAUGAUACGUAUCUAUUAUAAAUAUAUUGUAAAUAAAUAGCCAAUUUGAUGGACGUUUUUCAGAAUAAAUGUAGAACUUGUAGAGCUAUGAUUUAAUAUUUGUUUGUUUAAAUAUGUGUUAAUUCUUCCAUGGUUUUCAAUCACUAUGUUUGAAAGUGAUUUACUAAUUUUAUUAAUUGAUGCUUAAUUGUAGUCACUUGAUCUGUAAUUAUGUUCGAGAUCAAGCAGUUGAUGUAAUUAAUUUUAUGUUCUGAGUUUUCAAGAAGUAAUCUUGUAUAUUUGGCAGCUUAUAAAAUAAAAAUAGUAAAAUAUA